UACAGAGGUCUCAAGCGUUGUUCGGAUUCAUUGGGCGUAAAGGGUGCGUAGGUGGCGUCGUAAGUCAGGUGUGAAAUUUCGGAGCUUAACUCCGAAACUGCAUUUGAUACUGCGGUGCUUGAGGACUGGAGAGGAGACUGGAAUUUACGGUGUAGCAGUGAAAUGCGUAGAGAUCGUAAGGAAGACCAGUGGCGAAGGCGGGUCUCUGGACGAGUUCCU
rnacentral:rRNA from 1 species